UACGAAGGGGGCUAGCGUUGCUCGGAAUCACUGGGCGUAAAGCGCACGUAGGCGGACUCUUAAGUCAGGGGUGAAAUCCUGGAGCUCAACUCCAGAACUGCCUUUGAUACUGAGAGCCUUGAGUUCGGGAGAGGUGAGUGGAACUGCGAGUGUAGAGGUGAAAUUCGUAGAUAUUCGCAAGAACACCAGUGGCGAAGGCGGCUCACUGGCCCGAUACUGACGCUGAGGUGCGAAAGCAUGGGGAGCAAACAGG
rnacentral:rRNA from 1 species